AAGAGGCUGAAACUCGCCUCUUUGAAGUCGGAAUCGCUAGUAAUCGCAGAUCAGCAUGUUGCGGUGAAUACGUUCCCGGGCCUUGUACACACCGCCCGUCACACCAUGAGAGUCGGGAACACCCGAAGUCCGUAGCCUGACCGCGAAGGGGGGCGCGGCCGAAGGUGGGUUCGAUAAUUGGGGUGAAGUCGUAACAAGGUACC
rnacentral:rRNA from 1 species